rnacentral:rRNA from 1 species
CAGCAUGAGUUAUGUCAUGUUAUCGAUAUGUGAAUACAUAGCAUAUCAGAAGGCACACCCGGAGAACUGAAACAUCUUAGUACCCGGAGGAAGAAAAAGAAAAUUCGAUUCCCUUAGUAGCGGCGAGCGAAACGGGAAGAGCCCAAACCAACAAGCUUGCUUGUUGGGGUUGUAGGACACUCUAUACGGAGUUACAAAGGACGACAUUAGACGAAUCAUCUGGAAAGAUGAAUCAAAGAAGGUAAUAAUCCUGUAGUCGAAAAUGUUGUCUCUCUUGAGUGGAUCCUGAGUACGACGGAACACGUGAAAUUCCGUCGGAAUCUGGGAGGACCAUCUCCUAAGGCUAAAUACUCUCUAGUGACCGAUAGUGAACCAGUACCGUGAGGGAAAGGUGAAAAGCACCCCGGAAGGGGAGUGAAAUAGAACCUGAAACCGUGUGCUUACAAGUAGUCAGAGCCCGUUAAUGGGUGAUGGCGUGCCUUUUGUAGAAUGAACCGGCGAGUUACGAUUUGAUGCAAGGUUAAGCAGUAAAUGUGGAGCCGUAGCGAAAGCGAGUCUGAAUAGGGCGUUUAGUAUUUGGUCGUAGACCCGAAACCAGGUGAUCUACCCUUGGUCAGGUUGAAGUUCAGGUAACACUGAAUGGAGGACCGAACCGACUUACGUUGAAAAGUGAGCGGAUGAACUGAGGGUAGCGGAGAAAUUCCAAUCGAACCUGGAGAUAGCUGGUUCUCUCCGAAAUAGCUUUAGGGCUAGCCUCAAGUGAUGAUUAUUGGAGGUAGAGCACUGUUUGGACGAGGGGCCCCUCUCGGGUUACCGAAUUCAGACAAACUCCGAAUGCCAAUUAAUUUAACUUGGGAGUCAGAACAUGGGUGAUAAGGUCCGUGUUCGAAAGGGAAACAGCCCAGACCACCAGCUAAGGUCCCAAAAUAUAUGUUAAGUGGAAAAGGAUGUGGCGUUGCCCAGACAACUAGGAUGUUGGCUUAGAAGCAGCCAUCAUUUAAAGAGUGCGUAAUAGCUCACUAGUCGAGUGACACUGCGCCGAAAAUGUACCGGGGCUAAACAUAUUACCGAAGCUGUGGAUUGUCCUUUGGACAAUGGUAGGAGAGCGUUCUAAGGGCGUUGAAGCAUGAUCGUAAGGACAUGUGGAGCGCUUAGAAGUGAGAAUGCCGGUGUGAGUAGCGAAAGACGGGUGAGAAUCCCGUCCACCGAUUGACUAAGGUUUCCAGAGGAAGGCUCGUCCGCUCUGGGUUAGUCGGGUCCUAAGCUGAGGCCGACAGGCGUAGGCGAUGGAUAACAGGUUGAUAUUCCUGUACCACCUAUAAUCGUUUUA